AAAUGCAGUGGCAGGCUAUUCCCAAAAUACCGCUAUGCUCUUAAAGAAAAAAAACCUUGAACCUUACUCCACAGUUAUGAAAUACAUUUUUAUUUAAAAAAAAUAGUUCACUGAUUGUAAAAUUGUAUAUGGUCAAUGUUCUUAUUAUAAUACAGGCUGGGGAAGUUGUCACUCACUGAUUAAGGCUUUGAGUUGCUGAUUGGAUGGUCAGGAGUCUGAGCCCCAGCACUGCCAAGCUGCCACUGUUGGGCCCUUGAGCACAGAACUUAACCUUCUCUGCUCCAGGGGUGCGGUAUGAUAGCUGAUCCUGCACUUUGACACCAGCUUUUAACCAGCUGGAAUAUGAGAAGGAAGAAUGUAACUGUGCUAACUGUGUGACAUCGGAAAAAAAUAAAAAUGUUUGGACUUUUGGGUACAUUGUAAAUUAGAUUGGAACUGUCUAACUGUCCAAUCUUUUCCACAAAUGGCCAGUGUGGGUGCAGGUUUUCAUGCCAUACAAUUAAGGGCCACACCUGAUAGUAAUUGAAAAUCAAAAAUAUGAAAGUUAAAGCGGUAUAAUUUGGUGCAGACUUGCUUGGUUGGAAUGAAAACCUGCACCCACAAUGGCACUUUGUGGAAAAGAUUUAAAACUCCACAUCAAAUUAAAAUAGCUGUCCAGCCAUAAUUUAGUUCAAGUGUCAUUCUUUUUUUUGUGCAUCAUAUUGGAUGUUUACAGUUAUGAAGGACACAUGGUGACUUCCAACACCUAAAAUUGCCUCCGAAGGCAAGGAUGUAUUUUUUUUUUUUGGCGGGGGGGGGGCGCUGUUGCUGCUUAAACAUCGAGGUUCAAUCCUGACCUUUGCUGACUGUCUUUGCAUACACUUUUCAUCCCACCUGAAAAGCAUGGAUUAUUGUUUAAAAAAAAAAAAAAAAAAUUUGACCUUUGAUAUGAAAUGCUACAUUUGGUAGGAGGGCAUAGUGAGAACUCCAUGCUUGUAGUGAAACAAGGUGGUGGUAGCUUUUCAUCAGCAGAGACUAAGAAAUGUCAAGUUUGGGUUAUAGACACCAAAAGCAUGAUAUAAUAAUCCAAGAAUUAAUGUAAUAUGCAACCAAAAACAACUGUUUUUUUUAAUAACAUUUGAAAGUAAAUAAAACUUUGGUAGCUUGAAAUGUUGGACAAAGAAAUGUUUGAUCCUCCAAGAAGAAGCCUAUAAAUUGCAGAAUUGUAUAUAGUAUUCCCAGGUUGCCACACACUUGGAAAAAUCUUUCAUAUUGUUUAUUUUUCUUGUUAUCAUUAUCAAAACUACUCAUGCCAGCGCCAUUAUUUGCUGAGAAGAGUUCAUAUAAAUAAUAUCUGGUCGGUGGUAAUGUCAUGGUACCAUAAAACAACAGCCUGAGUAAAAAGUCAUACUCUUAGUGAACACAAAUAUGGGAUGUUCAUUAAUGGUCCAAAAACGUAUCUUUAGGCAGCACCUUUAGGCAAUACAUAAUUAAUCUUAGAAAAAAAAAAAAAGGUUAGAAUGAUUUUGUCAAGUGAUUUAACAGGAUAUGCUUUUGUAACACAGACAUUUCAAAAACACACACAGAGAGAUAACACAGAGGCAUGAUGAUGCAGCAGCAGCAGCUGUAUUUGGGUAUAAAGGCAAUGCUCCAGUGUGUGUCGUGUGUGUGUGUGUGUUUCAGUGUUUCAAAAAAAAAGUUUCAAAUAUAGUAAAGCACUUUAGAAAUAAACAAAAACCCAAUAAGAAGAAAGUCAAUAAUCACAAACCCUGCCCACCAAAAGAUCAGUGUGCGUACAUAUGUGUAUACAUAUACAUAUAUAUAUAUAUAUACAUAUACACACACAUAUAUAUAUAUAUAUAUAUAUAUAUAUAUAUAUAUAUAUAUAUAUAUAUAUAUAUAUUAGUGUGUGUGUACACACAUAGUUACAUCCUUACACUCACACUGCAUAUCUGGUUGCACACAUUUAUAUCAAAGGCAAUUUGGUCUAAACAGAAUUACCAUUAUAUAUAUCUAGUUGAUUAUUUAUAACCAUUCACAGAGCUGGAAGUUGAUCCCAAAAAAGAGCUGAUUACCCAAUUCCAGGCAUCGGGAAUCAAAACUGAUUUCGAGUUAAUUCCACACGUUAAAAAGUUUCAACUCAAAUUUACACAGGACAUAGUGCAAGAACAUGUACUAUUCAACUGUUAACAUUGGACUAAUGCCUCUUUUCUUGGCAAAUUCACGAGUAGUCUGGCAGUAUUUCACUUGAGAGAGAGAGAGAGAGAGAG